rnacentral:rRNA from 2 species
CCUACGGGAGGCAGCAGUGGGGAAUCUUAGACAAUGGGGGCAACCCUGAUCUAGCCAUGCCGCGUGAGUGAUGAAGGCCUUAGGGUUGUAAAGCUCUUUCAGCUGGGAAGAUAAUGACGGUACCAGCAGAAGAAGCCCCGGCUAACUCCGUGCCAGCAGCCGCGGUAAU